CGGACGGGUGAGUAAUGCUUGGGAAUCUGGCUUAUGGAGGGGGAUAACUACGGGAAACUGUAGCUAAUACCGCAUAAUAUCGAAGGAUUAAAGGGUGGGACUUUCGGGCCACCUGCCAUGAGAUGAGCCCAAGUGGGAUUAGGUAGUUGGUUAGGUAAAGGCUGACCAAGCCGACGAUCUCUAGCUGGUCUGAGAGGAUGACCAGCCACACUGGAACUGAGACACGGUCCAG
rnacentral:rRNA from 1 species